rnacentral:tRNA from 5 species
GGGGAUGUAGCUCUAGCACUGUGGGAAAGCGCUUGCCUCGCAUGUAAGAAGUCGUGGGUUCGAAUCCUAUCAUCUCUAUCA